CCGGCGCAAGCAGCUCUCUUGGCGCGGCGGGUCGGCGUGGUGGUCGUGGGUAUGCGGUCGGGGGUGUCUUCCUGGCGCCUGCUGCGGAGCCUGCUGCAGAGCACGGGGAAGCGGCAGGCUCCUGCGCCCUGCCCUGCGCCGCCUUGCACAGCAGUCCGUGCACGGGUACCUCCGAGCCCGGCAGGGGAGGGGACUGCAGGGCUCGGCGGACCUAGCUGAACAACCGUUGCAGAGUAGUUUGUGAUGUCUGCCUCACGCCACUGCUUGGAACUGACCUAGGUCAGGUCGGGGAACUCAGCUGGAGUCGCCCCGAUCUCUGCUGACUCAUCGGUUUCUUUCCAAGCUUCUGAUCCUCGCAGCGCCAUGAUGGAGUUUUAAGACGUCCAUCGGUGUGUUGUCCUUGAAUAAAGAAUGAGAGCUCUGGAAGCCCAGCCAGGGGAUUCUGCACUAACCUGAUGGCCAGAGGCCUAAAGUUUGGAACCUACUCCUUUGGGGACUUGCUUUUGGGAAAGCUGUGAUGCCUAGAUGAUGGUUCCUACUGCUUGACCUUCAGGCUGUGCCAAGUGGAGAGCCAUGCCCUUUCUCCUUGUUUGCAGUGGAUUUUGCUGACACACAAAGGAUGUCCUCUGGUAGGUGUUGAGCAGAUCCUGGGAACUUCUUUAUUAACCUGUGUGAACAGCUAUAAUCUUAUUGGAGAAAAACUUACUUAGAAAUUUGGGGUCACUUACCUGUCAGGUAGAUAGCUUUCACUUGUAUUUGCUUUAUCUUGUGCAACAAUCUGGUUUUAUCUGAAAGACUCCAAUAAAAUAUUUUAAAGCAAA